rnacentral:rRNA from 1 species
GACGAACGCUGGCGGCGUGCUUAACACAUGCAAGUCGAACGGAAAGGCCCUGCUUUUGUGGGGUGCUCGAGUGGCGAACGGGUGAGUAACACGUGAGUAACCUGCCCUUGACUUUGGGAUAACUUCAGGAAACUGGGGCUAAUACCGGAUAGGAGCUCCUGCUGCAUGGUGGGGGUUGGAAAGUUUCGGCGGUUGGGGAUGGACUCGCGGCUUAUCAGCUUGUUGGUGGGGUAGUGGCUUACCAAGGCUUUGACGGGUAGCCGGCCUGAGAGGGUGACCGGCCACAUUGGGACUGAGAUACGGCCCAGACUCCUACGGGAGGCAGCAGUGGGGAAUAUUGCACAAUGGGCGGAAGCCUGAUGGAGCAACGCCGCGUGCGGGAUGACGGCCUUCGGGUUGUAAACCGCUUUCGCCUGUGACGAAGCGUGAGUGACGGUAAUGGGUAUAGAAGCACCGGCUAACUACGUG